rnacentral:rRNA from 1 species
UACGUAGGUGGCAAGCGUUGUCCGGAUUUACUGGGCGUAAAGAGCGCGCAGGCGGUCGUUCAAGUCGCGUGUGAAAGCCCCCGGCUCAACUGGGGAGGGUCACGCGAUACUGAUCGACUCGAAGGCAGGAGAGGGAAGUUGGAAUUCCCGGUGUAGUGGUGAAAUGCGUAGAUAUCGGGAGGAACACCAGUGGCGAAGGCGACUUCCUGGCCUGUUCUUGACGCUGAGGCGCG